rnacentral:lncRNA from 1 species
CUUCUAUCAGCCCCCAUCAGCCCUCCUUUCUCCUCACCUGCCCUCGGAGGGUCAUGUGUGGUUCCAUGACCCACCAACCCCUGUGGCUGGGCAGGGCGGGGCAGACAUCUAUCUGGUGGCUCCAGGCUCAACCGGCUCCGUGCAGCUCACUGCGCUCUUUUGGGGAGACACAGGCCGAGUAGGGAAGGUCUGAGCCGGCAGCUCUUGAGACAGAAAGAGAAGGGAACUGUUCUCCCGCAGGCUGCACUAUGCAUGUUACAUGCCGUGAGCACAAGCAGACGCUGCGUAAACAGGCUGGCUCUGCAGGGCAUGAAGAAGGCUGCUCUGAGCUAGGGCCACACGGCACCUGCUGGGACACAGGGAGGGGUGGGGAGUCCUGGAAGAUGAGUGACCCUCAGGGAGAGGAGGAGACUCCUGUUGGAGAGCACACAGAUUUCCUGGGGUCUAUGCCGGGCUGGAAGGCUGGCCAUCUUAAGGCUGCAUUUGUUCCCGAACCUAAGGACCAUGGGAGCCACGCAGCCAGAGGGGGUGUGAUCAGAUGUGUGUUCUGGUUGGAUGGCUCUUGUGGCUGUGUGCAGAAUGAAAGGAGGAGUUGGACUUGGCCAUUAAGUCCACGAUGGCAGAGGAAGCAGGUGCCAUGGGAGAAGGACCUUGGAUACAUGCCCAGGAAGGUGAGUAGGGGUCUGCCAGAGACCAGGGCCUGAAACGGCUCUGCUCUCUGUUCUUUUUUUUUUUUUUUUUUGAGACUUGAGUCUUGCUCUGUCGCCCAGGCUGGAGUGCAGUGGCGCCAUCUCGGCUCACUGCAAACCCCGCCUCCCGGGUUCACGCCAUUGUCCUGCUUCAGCCUCCUGAGUAGCUGGGACUACAGGCGCCCACCACCACGCCUGGCUAAUUUUUUGUAUUUUUAGUAGAGACGGGGGUUUCACCGUGUUAGCCAGGAUGGUCUCGAUCUCCUGACCUCGUGAUCUGCCCGCCUUGGUCUCCCAAAGUGCUGGGAUUACAGGCAUGAGCCACUGCGCCCGGCCUGCUCUCUGUUCUUAAGCUUGUAAAUAACAAAACCAGGAGAUGUGGGCUGAACGGUUUAGUGUAGUGAUCAACAGCAGCAUAAUCGCGGUGCCCAAGUACUGCUAAGUGCUAAGCAUGGAGGUAAGGUCAGUGAUUAGAAUGCGUUUUAUAGUCCAAGCUGGCGUGGAGGAGCCUUGCAUCAUCUUUGUCCCCCGACCCACAUAGCUUCAUUUGGCUGGUACAGCUGCUGGUGCUCCAUGCUGGCAGGAAUAGAAUUAUUAUGGGGCCUCAGCAGGGUGGGCGCUGAAGAAGAAAUUGGGGGCUUUGGGCAGAUUGAGUCACAGUAAAGCUAUUGAUCUUUGAGCACAGACUGUGCUACAUUUUCAUGAUUUCAGUGAAUCCUCACAACCACGGGCAGCGCACAGAUGAGCAAACAGGAUCAGGACAAUGAAGUGUUUAUAGCCAAGUAAUUCCAACCUCUUAGCCAAGACCAGAGCUAAAAGGGCACCUUCAUCACACCGCCGACGUUGACCCCAGGCUGACAAAUGUGACCUGCUUCCGUUGGUCUUUGAAUCCUCAUUUCUAUUUGCUUUUCAACUUUAUUGUAUAUAUCUUUUAUGUAACUUACUUCAAGUUAUUUUGUAGGGAAAUGUGUAAAAAACCCCUGCUUUUUGGGAUCAUGAAAAUAUUUCAAAGUUAGAUUAUGGUGAUGGUUGCCCAACUUUGUAAAUAUACUAAAGAUCGUUC